CACACACACACACACACACACGCACACACACUCCAGGGCUCUGAGCUGGGGAGAGAGUUGUAUUGGCAGAGACAGAAAGCAGAGUUAGAAGCAGGUGCUUACGCCUGCCUCGCGGUUACCUUCUCAUUUUGGGGACCUGAGGCGAGAAAAUCAAGGUCCAAGAAGAUAAAUGCCUAAAGGUUGUACGUCUAGUAAUUGGUGGAGCCAGGAUUUGAACCCAGAUGCGUAGUAUCCCGUUCUAUGGCUGUGCCAUAAUUUGUUCAGCAUGUCCCUAUUGAUGAACAUUUAGGCUGUUUCCAAUCUUCUGUAUUACAAAAAUUGCUACAGCAGUCUUAGCUGUGGAAGGCGCAGUUCAGCUCCAGGUCCAGUUGCCAUUGUUAGUUGCAGGGGGCGCAGCCC